rnacentral:tRNA from 1 species
GGGUAUGCAAAGCAGUCUCAGCCGAUCUGAACUCUGCGUCCCCGCUGCAAUUGAACGGACUCUUAAUCCGUUGGUCGCAGGUUCGAAUCCUGCAGGGCCCACCA